rnacentral:rRNA from 1 species
UCGGGAAUCUUGCACAAUGGGCGAAAGCCUGAUGCAGCAACGCCGUGUGAGCGAGGAAGGUCUUCGGAUCGUAAAGCUCUGUUGUUGGGGACGAAGGGCGAAGGGUUAAUAGCCCCUAGCCUGACGGUACCCUUCGAGGAAGCCCCGCCUAACUACGUGCCAGCAGCCGCGGUAAUACGUAGGGGGCGAGCGUUGUCCGGAAUUAUUGGGUGUAAAGGGUGUGUAGGCGGACUUGUAAGUCAGGGGUGAAAGCCACCGGCCUAACCGGUGAACUGCCCUUGAUACUGCAAGUCUUGAGUCCUGGAGGGGUCACUAGAAUUCGUGGUGUAGCGGUGAAAUGCGUAGAUAUCACGAGGAAUACCAGAGGCGAAGGCGGGUGACUGGACAGGUACUGACGCUGAGGCACGAAAGCGUGGGGAGCAAACAGGAUUAGAUACCCCCGUAGUCC